UUAGGCGUGCCCGAUAGGCAAAUCCGUUGGGCUUAGCCGAGGCGUGAUGACGCAAGACUCUCACGGGUCCCAAGCCACUGAGACCCCGCUUCCAGGAAAAGCCUCUAAGCUUCAGUUGCAUGAAGACCGUACCGCAAACCGACACAGGUGGGCAGGAUGAAGAUUCUAAGGCGCUUGAGAGAACUCAGGAGAAGGAACUCGGCAAAUUAGCACCGUAACUUCGGGAGAAGGUGCGCCCCGGUAGUGUGUAGCGGCUUGCCCGUGAAGCACGAUGGGGUUGCAGUGAAUUGGUGGCUGCGACUGUUUAAUAAAAACACAGCACUCUGCAAACACGAAAGUGGACGUAUAGGGUGUGACGCCUGCCCGGUGCCGGAAGGUUAAGUGAUGGGGUGCAAGCUCUUGAUCGAAGCCCCGGUAAACGGCGGCCGUAACUAUAACGGUCCUAAGGUAGCGAAAUUCCUUGUCGGGUAAGUUCCGACCUGCACGAAUGGCGUAACGAUGGCCACACUGUCUCCUCCUGAGACUCAGCGAAGUUGAAGUGGUUGUGAAGAUGCAAUCUACCCGCUGCUAGACGGAAAGACCCCAUGCACCUUUACUGUAGCUUUGCAUUGGACUUUGAUGAGACUUGUGUAGGAUAGGUGGGAGGCUUUGAAGGCGGGAUGCUAGUUCCGCUGGAGCCGUCCUUGAAAUACCACCCUGGUGUCAUUGAGGUUCUAACCUAGAUCCAUUAUCUGGAUCGGGGACCGUGCAUGGCAGGCAGUUUGACUGGGGCGGUCUCCUCCCAAAGGGUAACGGAGGAGUUCGAAGGUUCGCUAGGUACGGUCGGACAUCGUACUGAUAGUGCAUUGGCAAAAGCGAGCUUGACUGCGAGACGGACAUGUCGAGCAGGUGCGAAAGCAGGACAAAGUGAUCCGGUGGUUCUGUAUGGAAGGGUCAUCGCUCAACGGAUAAAAGGUACGCUGGGGAUAACAGGCUGAUGACUCCCAAGAGUUCAUAUCGACGGAGCCGUUUGGCACCUCGAUGUCGGCUCAUCACAUCCUGGGGCUGUAGCCGGUCCCAAGGGUAUGGCUGUUCGCCAUUUAAAGUGGUACGUGAGCUGGGUUUAAAACGUCGUGAGACAGUUUGGUCCCUAUCUGCAGUGGGCGUUGGAGAUUUGACGGGGGCUGCUCCUAGUACGAGAGGACCGGAGUGGACGCACCCCUGGUGUACCGGUUGUGACGCCAGUCGCAUCGCCGGGUAGCUAUGUGCGGAAGAGAUAACCGCUGAAAGCAUCUAAGCGGGAAACUUGCCUGAAGAUGAGAUCUCCCGGAGGCUUGACCUCCCUGAAGGGUCGUGGAAGACCACCACGUUGAUAGGCCGGGUGUGGAAGCGCAGUAAUGCGUUAAGCUAACCGGUACUAAUUGCCCGUGCGGCUUGAUCCU
rnacentral:rRNA from 1 species